rnacentral:other from 1 species
UUAAUCCUGAGAUGUGCGUGGCUUAAUAUGUUCAACCUACGAAAUAAUAACGGGAUUUUCAUCAAUCAUAAUGUGUCAAGCUCCAGCAGCAUAGGCUGUAUUGGAUUUCCAAGAUGGAGACGACUGAGGUAUGAUGAGAAGAACCCACCUGCAAGAUAGCAGGUUGUGAACAUUUAGGAUCACGGCAUAUUGGGAACGAG